rnacentral:rRNA from 1 species
CACGUAGGGCGCAAGCGUUGUCCGGAAUUAUUGGGCGUAAAGAGCUCGUAGGCGGUCUGUUGCGUCUGCUGUGAAAACCCGGGGCUUAACCCCUGGCUUGCAGUGGAUACGGACAGACUAGAGGUAGGUAGGGGAGAAUGGAAUUCCCGGUGUAGCGGUGAAAUGCGCAGAUAUCGGGAGGAACACCAAUGGCGAAGGCAGCUCGCUGGGACGGUACUGACGCUGAGGCGCGAAAGCGUGGGGAGCAAACAGG